rnacentral:rRNA from 1 species
UGGGGAAUAUUGCACAAUGGGCGCAAGCCUGAUGCAGCCAUGCCGCGUGUGUGAAGAAGGCCUUCGGGUUGUAAAGCACUUUCAGCGAGGAGGAAGGUGGUGAACUUAAUACGUUCAUCAAUUGACGUUACUCGCAGAAGAAGCACCGGCUAACUCCGUGCCAGCAGCCGCGGUAAUACGGAGGGUGCAAGCGUUAAUCGGAAUUACUGGGCGUAAAAGCGCACGCAGGCGGUUUGUUAAGUCAGAUGUGAAAUCCCCGGGCUCAACCUGGGAACUGCAUUUGAAAACUGGCAAGCUAGAGUCUCGUAGAGGGGGGUAGAAUUCCAGGUGUAGCGGUGAAAAUGCGUAGAGAUCUGGAGGAAUACCGGUGGCGAAAGGCGGCCCCCUGGACGAAGACUGACGCUCAGGUGCGAAAAGCGUGGGGAGCAAAACAGGAUUAGAUACCCUGGUAGUCCACGCUGUAAAACGAUGUCGAUUUUGGAGGUUGUGCCCUUGAGGCGUGGCUUCCGGAGCUAACGCGUUAAAAUCGACCGCCUGGGGAGUACGGCCGCAAGGUUAAAAACUUAAAAGG